rnacentral:lncRNA from 1 species
CAGAAAAAUAAUGUUUGAUCUUGGAUUAAUUGUUUGUAAAACAGAGAGAUUGAAGAUGAGGAGACUGCAACGUAAGUUGGUUAUAAAUAUGUCUAGAUAGGAAGCUAUGUGUAAAUUGGAUGAAGGUCCACAUUGUUUUUUUCUGUUAUUAAAUAUACCUAUAGCAGCCCUGUAAUCCUGGACGCAGUUAUCCAUUACAUGAAUAAACUGUUACAGGAAUUAGGAGAGGACUGCUGUAGGAGAACAUUACAAAACUGACACACAUCAUCAUCAUCAUCAUCAUCAUCAUCACCUUCAUCAUCACAGAAAAAUACAAAAAAGUAAGAACAAGAAAAGUUGAAAAAUGUAAAAGGCCGAAAAAUAAGCCUCGCAAAUAUGGAAGUCA